rnacentral:rRNA from 1 species
GACGAACGCUGGCGGCGUGCUUAACACAUGCAAGUCGAACGGAAAGGCCCUGCUUUUGUGGGGUGCUCGAGUGGCGAACGGGUGAGUAACACGUGAGUAACCUGCCCUUGACUUUGGGAUAACUUCAGGAAACUGGGGCUAAUGCCGGAUAGGAGCUCCUGCUGCAUGGUGGGGGUUGGAAAGUUUCGGCGGUUGGGGAUGGACUCGCGGCCUAUCAGCUUGUUGGUGGGGUAGUGGCUUACCAAGGCUUUGACGGGUAGCCGGCCUGAGAGGGUGACCGGCCACAUUGGGACUGAGAUACGGCCCAGACUCCUACGGGAGGCAGCAGUGGGGAAUAUUGCACAAUGGGCGGAAGCCUGAUGCAGCAACGCCGCGUGCGGGAUGACGGCCUUCGGGUUGUAAACCGCUUUCGCCUGUGACGAAGCGUGAGUGACGGUAAUGGGUAAAGAAGCACCGGCUAACUACGUG